GGUGGGUUUGUAAGUCAGAUGUGAAAGCCUUCUGUUCAACGGGAGAAUUGCAUCUGAAACUACAGACCUUGAGUAUAGGAGGGGAGAAUGGAACUUCUGGUGGAGCGGUGAAAUGCGUAGAUAUCAGAAGGAACGCCGGCGGCGAAAGCGAUUCUCUGGCCUAUUACUGACACUCAGUGUGCGAAAGCUAGGGGAGCAAACGGGAUUAGAUACCCCGGUAGUCCUAGCCGUAAACGAUGGGCACUAAGUAGAGGGGUUU
rnacentral:rRNA from 1 species